CAGAAGUGAGAAUUUCCUGGAGCAAAGCUUACCGGGGAAGAACCAGAACCACUCUCAGCUGACUUGUCUUUGGCAAAAUGGUAGUGAGAUGUCCUCCCAGACAAGUGGAAGACUGUUCCCAGACCAGGAGCUUUGGGUGUCAUGCCUAAGUCAUUAACACCAAGAUUAUACCUGACCCUGCCAAGGUCUGUAAAUCACGCCGAGGCUGACUUAUCCGCCGUGGGAGGCAGCCAGAAUUGCUGCAUUUAGAAAGCCUGCUGGCUAGGCAGUGCCCAGCAAAUCCCUCUGCUCGACAGCAGGGAAGGCAGGGCUGUGUCCCAUGGGCCGCGGUGCAAGGCGGCGGUAGGAGGGGCUGUGGCAUCCCUUGGCGUGCGGCCAGCAGCCCCUGCCGGCACCUCCGCCUGAAGUUUGCCCACAGCACAAGCGAUUGCUGAGAUCCAUCACAUGUAGACUUAAGAGUUCAAAGGAUACCCGUGGGGGAGAGCUUCUUGGGAGGCGGGGCACCGUGUGCCAGCUGCCAGUGGCAAAGGUUGAAGUUCCGAUGGGGAAAUUUUUGUUCAGCACAUGAGAUAAUUUUCUGUGAUAAGUUAUGCUUAGGUCGGCUCAGCGAGAACAUCCUGCUAUUGACGGGAGUUGUGUGGCAAGCAAAUUUCCUGGGCGUCUGCUUUUUUUAUAUAUAUUUUUUUAUUUAUUUUUUUUUAAACUGUGGAUCUAUGUACAGCUAUUGACUUUUACAGCUUUGCAAAUUGAUAUGCAAGAGGUGCACAGGACGAGGUGAUAAAAAGUUGAAACCUGGCGACGGAGAGGAUGUUCAUGUCUGACCAUGAUAUGAACGCAGGAUGUCCCAGGGGGCUGGCUCAGGGAAGCACAGAGCACAGGGUGAUGAAUGAAGGUAAGAAUUUGCAGCAUCACUCUAAAGAGCCAUUUGCACGAGGGAGCAUCAUUAUUUCCACACAUUUCAGCAGUUCCUAGUGUGGGCUGGCCUCAUAUUUACAAAAUUUUAUGGUCACUCUAUCAUUUGUGUGGCAGUGCUGGGUUUUUUUACUUUAAAUGAACCCAAUUAAUAAUGCUUCAUCUGCCACUGCUUAUUAACACACCUCUGUGAGAUCAAGUGGUGGGAGAGGGGCUGGCAGCAGCUGAACUUCAUACUCUGAAGGAGGAGUCCAAUAUUUUCCUGAGAUCUGUGCUCCGAGGGUGAGGC
rnacentral:lncRNA from 1 species